UAAUCUCAAGGUCAAACUUUCACCACAUUUCUCUCCCUCUCUCUCCCAUUUUCUCCCCUCUCUCUCUCUCUCUCUCUCUCUCUCUCUCCCAACCCAACACACGCUUUUGUAUUUUGACUAAUAACAAAGCUUUUCACAUUUUCUUUCUUUUUUCUUCUUUCUCUUUCAUCAUAAAUAAAAUUUUCCGAGAAAAUCGAAAUUAUAGAUCGGACCAAUCAAAGAGAUCCGCACAAAAAAAUAAAAAAAUAAAAAAGAAAAAAAAACCAAACAAAAACAACCAACAAAACUAAAAAACAUACCCAAAAAUUUUCUCUCUCUUCUUUUUUUCUUUCUUCUUCCUUUCUUUCUCUCUCUCUCUCUCUCCUUCUUUGAUCCAUGGGAGAGAAACUUUGAACUUGAAAAACAUCAAAAAGUUUCAAAAUCUUGAAAUCCCAAGAUUGAAAAAAAACCAAAAUCCUAGGAUUGAAAUUGAAAUCAAAAUCAAAAUCCCUNNNNNNNNNNNNNNAAUCCCUAAUUUGUAUGAAAACCCCCAAAUGUGGGAUAGAAAAUAAGAAGAAGAAAAACCCAAACUUGAUCGAUCUGAGGACGACCCAGAUAGAAAUUGGAUCCGAUUAUUGGAUCUGAAUCUGAUGGUGUGCGAUUGGAUGAAAUGGGUGACGCUAUUAUUGUUGUUAUCGUUUUGGGAUUUUGGUGCUAGGGUU
rnacentral:lncRNA from 1 species